rnacentral:rRNA from 1 species
GACGAACGCUGGCGGCGUGCUUAACACAUGCAAGUCGAACGGAAAGGCCCUGCUUUUGUGGGGUGCUCGAGUGGCGAACGGGUGAGUAACACGUGAGUAACCUGCCCUUGACUUUGGGAUAACUUCAGGAAACUGGGGCUAAUACCGGAUAGGAGCUCCUGCUGCAUGGUGGGGGUUGGAAAGUUUCGGCGGUUGGGGAUGGACUCGCGGCUUAUCAGCUUGUUGGUGGGGUAGUGGCUUACCAAGGGUUUGACGGGUAGCCGGCCUGAGAGGGUGACCGGCCACAUUGGGACUGAGAUACGGCCAAGCCUCCUACGGGAGGCAGCAGUGGGGAAUAUUGCACAAUGGGCGGAAGCCUGAUGCAGCAACGCCGCGUGCGGGAUGACGGCCUUCGGGUUGUAAACCGCUUUCGCCUGUGACGAAGCGUGAGUGACGGUAAUGGGUAAAGAAGCACCGGCUAACUACGUG